AUGCUUGGCGCGGCGCGGGCGACGCCCCGGGCCUGGGUCCUCGCCCUGCCCGGCCUGGCCGCUGGGCCUCGGCCUCCGCGGGUGGAAAUGCGCCGGGGUGGGGGGCUCCGGGUGAGAGGGGACGGCCGCGGCCUCCGCCCUUCUCCCCUGCUCUCCCACACACCGCGUCCGCUUCCCGCCUCGGCCCUGCCACCCCGGGACCCGCACAGCCCUGGGGUCGUUAUCCGUGGCGACCAGGAGGUUAGGAGGCAAAUGAUGGCGCGGGGCGCGGCCUCCGCAAUGAGACCCACACGUGCCGCGUCCGCGCUGUCCCGGGCACCAGCGCUCUGCUUCCCGCCUCGGCCCUGCCUCCCCAGGACCGGCACAGCCCUGGGGGACGCACAGCCCUGGGGUCCUCAUCCGAGGAGACCACAAGGCUCGGAGGCAAAUGAAGGCGCGGGGCGCGGCCUCCGCAACGAGUCCAGCACACGCUGGGUCCGCGCUGUCCCGGGCACGAGCGCCUCGCUGGGCUUUUCCUCGCCAGGGCCGAGUGCGGUCCAGGUGCGGGGGCCAGGUGCGGACCGGGCACUGCCUCCUGGGCACCCCCGGCCGGCUCUGGAGCUCGCGUGGGAGCUCCCAGACCUGAGGGAGGAAGCGCCCGUCCUGGGGGAGAUGCGACGCGGGGUGGGCACUGGAGGAGGGGGGCGCCAUCCGGCUCCCAGCACCCCCCAGCCCCGUGGCAGCCCCGCUGCCCAAAGCAGAGACAGCCAAGGCCGCUGCAGAGCCCCCAGGGUCCCCCGAGGUCCUGCCCUGCAGGCAGGGCACACCCUUGGCGCCCCAUGCAUACACUGCCGCCCCAGCGCCCGCAGCCCGGGGUCCUGGCCCCUCCUCCCUGCACGGAGUGCGCCCCCUACCCUGGCCCUGGGCCUCGGCCUCCAGGAAAGGGCCGUGGGAGGUGGUGGGAGGGGUCCGGCGGCUCCACGGGCCCUGCACGCCCGGCCAGGCACAGGAGCUGGCAAGCGGGCAGCUGGGCUGGGAGCAGCCGCUCCUCCCGGGGGGCGGGGGCGGGGGCGAGGGGCUGCUCCCCAUCAGAGCCAAGGGCGCUGCUGCAGCCUGGUGCCAUGGGUGGCCACUCGCUGA
rnacentral:lncRNA from 1 species